rnacentral:rRNA from 1 species
UGCCAGCAGCCGCGGUAAUACAGAGGGUGCGAGCGUUAAUCGGAAUUACUGGGCGUAAAGCGAGCGUAGGUGGUUGAUUAAGUCAGCUGUGAAAUCCCCGGGCUUAACCUGGGAAAGUCAGCUGAUACUGGUUAACUAGAGUAUGUGAGAGGAAAGUAGAAUUCCAGGUGUAGCGGUGAAAUGCGUAGAGAUCUGGAGGAAUACCGAUGGCGAAGGCAGCUUUCUGGCAUAAUACUGACACUGAGGUUCGAAAGCGUGGGUAGCAAACAGGAUUAGAUACCCUGGUAGUCCACGCCGUAAACGAUGUCUACUAGCCGUUGGUUACCAAGAGUAGCAAGUGGCGCAGCAAACGCGAUAAGUAGACCGCCUGGGGAGUACGGCCGCAAGGUUAAAACUCAAAUGAAUUGACGGGGGCCCGCACAAGCGGUGGAGCAUGUGGUUUAAUUCGAUGCAACGCGAANAACCUUACCUGGUCUUGACAUAUCUAGAAUCCUACAGAGAUGUGGGAGUGCCUUCGGGAAUUANAAUACAGGUGCUGCAUGGCUGUCGUCAGCUCGUGUCGUGAGAUGUUGGGUUAAGUCCCGCAACGAGCGCAACCCUUAUCCUUAGUUACCAUCAAGUGAAGUUGGGGACUCUAAGGAGACUGCCAGUGACAAACUGGAGGAAGGCGGGGACGACGUCAAGUCAUCAUGGCCCUUACGACCAGGGCUACACACGUGCUUACAAUGGUAGGUACAGAGGGUCGCNUACACUGCNAAGUGAUGCCAAUCUCAAAAAAGCCUAUCG